AGGUGCUCUUUCGACUUCUACAAGUGAACAAGCGAAAUUGUCCUUUCCAGCCUGGAUAUGAAUGCUGUAGCCCUUGUUAAUACUGUGAUGGCCGCAAUUCUUGUGGUGUUUCCAUCCGAAGCAACGGAGGGAAAUUGCCGACCGUAUAGCUGUGGCUACCCAAAUCAUUGCUCGGUCACUCCAACUUUUGGAACAUCCCAUAACUGCGGUAUGUGCAAUACAUGGUUCUACAACUCAACCUCUCGCAAAUGUCAAGACAUUAACAAUGGGAGAUGCAUCGACGGCUGUAACGGAUUUGCGAAAAAUUACGAUUGCGAAAGAGCGUGCGGUAAUCGUUGAGGAAAAUAAAAUGGUUUUUCAGUUUAAUGUGCAGAAUAAGAAAUAAACCCUUGGUCC